CCUACGGGAGGCAGCAGUGGGGAAUAUUGCACAAUGGGCGAAAGCCUGAUGCAGCAACGCCGCGUGAAGGAAGACGGUUUUCGGAUUUUAAACUUCUGUUCUUAGUGCAGAAUAAUGACGGUAACUAAGGCUCAAGCCACGGCUCACUACGUGCCAGCAGCCGCGGUAAUACGUAGGUGGCAAGCGUUGUCCGGAAUUACUGGGUGUAAAGGGGUCGUAGGCGGGAAGCCAAGUCAGCUGUGAAAACGACGGGCUUAACCUGUAGAGUGCAGUUGAAACUGGCUUUCUGGAGUGAAGUAGAGGUUGGCGGAAUGCCGGGUGUAGCGGUGAAAUGCGUAGAUAUUCGGAGGAACACCGGUGGCGAAGGCGGCAAACUGGGGUUUAACUGACGCUGAGGCUCGAAAGUGUGGGGAGCAAACAGGAUGAGAUACCCCAGUAGUC
rnacentral:rRNA from 1 species